CUGCAAUUGUUAUCGAAGGUUUCCUUUCCGGUAUUCACUUUCAUCCAAGUUCGUGCACGUCUCACGAUCAAAGUAUCAGUGACAUAUGUAUAUAAUAUCAACAAAAAGCGAAAAGAAAAAAUUCCAAAAGAGAAAUAAGCAACUAACAAACAAACAAACUAACUAACUAACUAUCUAACUAACCAACUAACUAAAGCGAAAAGAUGGGAAAAGAGUAAUAUGUUCGACAAAGUUAGAUUUUAAGCUUUUUUUAUUGUGCUUAUUGACAAGUACUAUUUAAUACAUGACUGAAAUUGCACAGUAAAAGUUAAAUAUUACAACGAAUCGCAGAUUAUAAUUUUUAUCGUUUUUGAAUAGCGACCACGACAUUUGCUUCUUUAAAUUUAAAUUUUUAAAAAUUUUUUAAAUUACAAUCAAGUAACGAGAUACUAUAUAUACCUUGUCAGAACGUAUGUCGGAAUAGAAUGUCGCUGAAAUAAAUAUGGUAGUUGAAAUAAUAAAAUAGCGAAUAAAACGGAUAACGAGUAAAAGAAACUACAACAAGAAGAAAGUAAAACUAAUCGAAACUUAUUUUAUUCUAUUCGCUCGUGCACGAACAAGAAUGAAAGUGAAUACAGGAAAUCGCGUGGUCGUCAUCCCCAUCACAGGGGGAAGGCCCUUUCCCUUGACGCACCGAUAAGCUCGACGAUUGAGCAGCAUGUAACAUGAUCCAGUGUCAGAUAACGCUGAGACAAUGUAUACAGAGCUUGGAUCACCGCAUCAUAAAAUACUUGCAAUUGUUGCAGAUUUCCUGGAUGUGACUUAUUCGGUUAACAGAAAGCUAGAAAAAUGCGGUCACUGGCAUAGUUUUCGUCGCUUGAAAAUCAUUUGAGAUCAGCAGUGAUGUAGUACAGUUUCCCUUUGACGCAUGCUGAAACUGGAUGGCCGAAUAAUAUGAUCUGAUCCAGAUUCGAAUAUCGAUGAGAUAAUGAAGCAAUACCAAUGUAAUAGUGAAAUUUGUUUAUACUUUACUCUUUUAAAAUUAAACUUUCGCUAAUGUACUUGUGAAACUGUGCCGAUUAAAAUAAGACCAAA